rnacentral:rRNA from 1 species
GAGGAAUCUUCCACAAUGGGCGAAAGCCUGAUGGAGCAAUACCGCGUGCAGGAAGACGCUUUUCGGAGUGUAAACUGCUUUUCUGAAGGAAGAUUAUGACGGUACUUCAGGAAUAAGGAUCGGCGAACUACGUGCCAGCAGCCGCGGUAAUACGUAGGAUCCAAGCGUUAUCCGGAAUUACUGGGCGUAAAGCGUGCGCAGACGGUUUGAUAGGUCAGUUGCGAAAUCCUAUGGCUCAACCAUAUGGACUGUGACUGAAACCAUCUGACUAGAGGUAGGUAGAGGCAAGUGGAAUUUCUGGUGUAGGGGUGACAUCCGUAGAUAUCAGAAGGAACACCAAUGGCGAAGGCAGCUUGCUGGGCCUUACCUGACGUUCAGGCACGAAAGCGUGGGGAGCAAAC